GACGAACGCUGGCGGCGUGCUUAACACAUGCAAGUCGAACGGAGCACCCUUGACUGAGGUUUCGGCCAAAUGAUAGGAAUGCUUAGUGGCGGACUGGUGAGUAACGCGUGAGGAACCUACCUUCCAGAGGGGGACAACAGUUGGAAACGACUGCUAAUACCGCAUGACGCAUGACCGGGGCAUCCCGGGCAUGUCAAAGAUUUUAUCGCUGGAAGAUGGCCUCGCGUCUGAUUAGCUAGAUGGUGGGGUAACGGCCCACCAUGGCGACGAUCAGUAGCCGGACUGAGAGGUUGACCGGCCACAUUGGGACUGAGAUACGGCCCAGACUCCUACGGGAGGCAGCAGUGGGGAAUAUUGGGCAAUGGACGCAAGUCUGACCCAGCAACGCCGCGUGAAGGAAGAAGGCUUUCGGGUUGUAAACUUCUUUUGUCAGGGAAGAGUAGAAGACGGUACCUGACGAAUAAGCCACGGCUAACUACGUGCCAGCAGCCGCGGUAAUACGUAGGUGGCAAGCGUUGUCCGGAUUUACUGGGUGUAAAGGGCGUGCAGCCGGGCCGGCAAGUCAGAUGUGAAAUCUGGAGGCUUAACCUCCAAACUGCAUUUGAAACUGUAGGUCUUGAGUACCGGAGAGGUUAUCGGAAUUCCUUGUGUAGCGGUGAAAUGCGUAGAUAUAAGGAAGAACACCAGUGGCGAAGGCGGAUAACUGGACGGCAACUGACGGUGAGGCGCGAAAGC
rnacentral:rRNA from 1 species